rnacentral:rRNA from 1 species
UACGUAGGGUGCAAGCGUUGUCCGGAAUUAUUGGGCGUAAAGAGCUCGUAGGCGGUUUGUCGCGUCUGGUGUGAAAACUCGGGGCUUAACUCCGGGCCUGCAGUGGGUACGGGCAGACUAGAGUGCGGUAGGGGAGACUGGAAUUCCUGGUGUAGCGGUGAAAUGCGCAGAUAUCAGGAGGAACACCGGUGGCGAAGGCGGGUCUCUGGGCCGUAACUGACGCUGAGGAGCGAAAGCGUGGGGAGCGAACAGG